rnacentral:rRNA from 1 species
AGCGUAGACGGUGAUGCAAGUCUGAAGUGAAAGCCCGGGGCUCAACCCCGGGACUGCUUUGGAAACUGUAUGACUGGAGUGCAGGAGAGGUAAGCGGAAUUCCUAGUGUAGCGGUGAAAUGCGUAGAUAUUAGGAGGAACACCGGUGGCGAAGGCGGCUUACUGGACUGUAACUGACGUUGAGGCUCGAAAGCGUGGGGAGCAAACAG